UUUUAUUUUGUAACUUUUGCAUUUCCCGACCCUAAUGCUCUCGCCGCGCUCCCCUGCGGGACGUACGCGGAGACGCAAGGAGCAGGGGUGUGUUUUAAAUCGGGCAGGCCGGGGCAGGAGCUCCCCGUGUCGCCGUGGAGGCGACACCGACGCCGCCCCGCUUUCUCCGUCCCUCCCUCCCUCUCAGGGCUCCGUCCCGGCGGCAGCAUCCACAGCCCCCCAGCCGGGCGCAGGCUGGGACUUGCCGAGCGGCCGCGCUGCAGGGCCGGGGCUGGGCGGGAAGGGCGCUGUCCCCGCUGUCUCUGGGGGCCACGCGGCAGGACCGAGGCCGGCGGGGCGGGCGCUCUCGGUCGUACAGCAGAGUCACCCACCGUCCCCUGCCCUGCCCUGCACUACAGUACCCAUCAGGCCGCGGCCCCGCCAGGCACGCCCCCGGCCGUCCCGGCGCAUGACUGGCUGUUCCCCCGCCGGCGGCGGGCGCUCCGCUUCUUCCACGGGCCCGCGGACCUGUCCCUCAGCGCGGGGUGUGGAGGGGCGGUGGCAGCACGGGCGCGGUUGCGGCGGAGUCCGGAGGCGGCGCUGACAGGACGGCGCGCGGAGGCGCUGCGGGCCGCGGCUGCAGCCCCCGGCCCGGAGCAGCCCGGCUGCGCUGAGCCCGGCCCGGCCCGGCCCGGAGCAGCCCGGCUGCGCUGAGCCCGGCCCGGCCCGGCCCGGAGCAGCCCGGCUGCGCUGAGCCCGGCCCGGCCCGGCCCGGAGCAGCCCGGCUGCGCUGAGCCCGGCCCGGCCCGGAAUAGCCCGGCCCGGCCCGGCCCGGCCCGGCCCGAGGAAGAAGCAGAAGUUUUAACCAUCUUCCCAUGGCAUCUGACUUUUUUGAAGAGGAGGACUUUUCAACCACUUGAUGGAAGGGAAAUAAGAAGUUUGUUUCAUGACUUAUGUCGUUCAUCAGUGCUGUUAACAAACGUGGGGCUUGAGGAUACAUUUGCUGCUUCUCUGCAUUUUUGCUAAAGGAAGGACCUUGCUGUCUCCCAGCUCCUGUGGGCAUUAGGUUUCAUGAAUGUCUCUGAGGAAGAGGACAGCUCUGUAGAGCCUAAGUUUCAAAAAUCGAACCCGAGAGAGAAACAGUGAGAUGCACAGUGGGGAAAAUGAACCCAGCAGUCCGUCCUAUCCUGUACCUGCCUGAAUAUGGAAAGAGACCUAGUACAAAGCCAGAAUGCAGCUGGGCUUGCAAUAUUUUUAACCAUAUUAAGUCCUGUUCAGAGUUAAUGAUGAGCUCAGUGAGAUGGUCUCAGCAAUGUUGAAGAAGGGAAGGACAGAACUGGAAGGCAGGAGCUGUUUCAAAGCAGGAUUCUUCACCUUUCUGUAAUGCCCAAACAUGAAGACUUUAUAAACUUCAUUAGGACCAUAUGCUCUGUCCUCGGCAUGAAAAUGAUGCAAGUUGCAAACUGAAAGGCAGCUCUGUUCCUGUAGGGAUGAAGCCCUCACUUCCCGUUGUCACGUCAGUGGAUGUACAGCUGCACUGCAGAAGAGAAGAUCCUGCCAUCAAUGACUGAGCCUCCCUGAAAUCUUCUUAUCAGUUACUGCCAAGAUGAGAAGGAUAACAGGAAGGAGGAGUGCUUAAGUGGCUUUAAUGACAGUUAAUUUCUUCUAUUUAUCAAAUGACAGGUUGUUUUCUCCUCAAAACUUGAUUAUCAUGACAAGAGGCUUUUGGAAGUCAUCUUUGUAAAAUAAAACUGACAAUUUUUAGGCUACAAAGAGCUGUUGUAUCUUUCUAUUGAAUGUUGUCAUGGUAAACUGCUGGAAAGUCUUUAUUUUUGAAGUAAUUUAACUUGCAUACUUCAUUCAUUUAUUUUAAUAUCUGUUGAAUGCCAUGUGAAAAGUUUCUUGCCAGAAUUCUUUUAUUCAAUGGAAUAGUUAUUGUUACAAAGCUCAAUUUAUUAAUGUCUAAAUUACUGUUGCUCUAGCCUCCUGCAAAAAUGUUUCUUUUUAGUAAUUCUUAAACAAAUAAGGAAUUAAUUAGGUUUUCUCCCCUUUGUGUUUUGAUCAGCAUAUUUUCCCUUUCAGUGAAAGUGUCUUCAGUUUUUGGAAUGACACAACACAAAGAAAGGUGUUUUGGUUUUUGGGGUUUUUUUUCCCAACAGCACAUGUCUUUUGUGCAAUGAUUUUUUAAUAUGUACACUGCCAUGAUACAAUUACUGGAAGGAGAGAGAGAAGCUGUUGGGAAUGUCAUGUUAUGCCAAAUUAAGAAUUAUUAGCUCUUACUUUCUGUGCAAUCUCUUCGACUAGAACUCGACCUAUUGCGUCUGGCGUAUACUUUGACUCUAGUGGAACUAAUGUGUCCUUGGAGUAGCAUUUCAGAGUAACUUCAGAUUCAUGCUUUUUUCACAAGUCUGCUUUAAACUGCUGGGAUUAACUUCAGAGAAGGCGAGAGAUACAGGCUCCUUUGUCAGCAGCUGUGCUGGUUAAAGAAGGAGGCUUCAUGCACGCUUGCUUGCUCAUUCUCUCCCUGCUAGGGAAGCAAACUGAACUGUUUCCCUGAGCACACGCAGACUGACUUCAGCCAAAGUUAAUCGUGUUAUCAAAUAUUAGUUAUCCAGUGCCCUGGGUCACUUUGAUGAAAGGACAGGGCAUACACAGACCAGCUGUGCAGACGUCAUGUCUGGGAAGGGUGGUGUGCUGACAGGAGUGUUGCUGAGGACUGGCCCUGGUGUGUCGCCUGUUCAGCAGGUGCAGUUACAUCCCUUGGAUGUGGUAAAAAUUUGACGUGUUAGAAAGCUGUGCAGAUCUGUCAUGCAUAAUAUUCACAUUCCAGGGACACCCUGGAUAAUGCAAAAUAAACUUGUGCUCUUUGACUUA